GAUGAACGCUGGCGGCGUGCCUAAUACAUGCAAGUCGAGCGAACAGAUAAGGAGCUUGCUCCUUUGACGUUAGCGGCGGACGGGUGAGUAACACGUGGGUAACCUACCUAUAAGACUGGAAUAACUCCGGGAAACCGGGGCUAAUGCCGGAUAACAUUUAGAACCGCAUGGUUCUAAAGUGAAAGAUGGUUUUGCUAUCACUUAUAGAUGGACCCGCGCCGUAUUAGCUAGCUGGUAAGGUAACGGCUUACCAAGGCAACGAUACGUAGCCGACCUGAGAGGGUGAUCGGCCCCACUGGACCUGAACACGGUCCCCACUCCCUACGGGGGGCCGCAGUAGGAAUUUUUCCGCAAUGGGCGAAACCCUUACGGAGCAACGCCGCGGGAUGGAUGAAGGUCUUCGGGUCGUAAAACUUUUUUAUUGGGAAAAAACAAAUUGUAAAGUAACUGUGCCCGUUUUGGCGGUCCCUAAUCAAAAAGCCCCGGCUAACUGCGU
rnacentral:rRNA from 1 species